GUCUCUUGUGCCAACUACUAUGUGGAAUGCACAGGGGCCAUGAUUUCAUCUGAACUUUAGAAUUCAUCCUGGGGCGGGGCCUGCCUCCAUGCUUUCUCCACACAGUAGAUGAAUGGGGAAAUCGUGUCUGUGGGAAUUCAUCACAAGACAGGUGGAAAUCUCACCUGGGGGGCAAGAGGCCACGGAAAAGGAUAUACAAAUGAAGCAGAUGGAAAAGGACAAAGAAAAAAAAGACAAAACUUCAGACAUUCACUUUGACAUUAAAAAAGAAAAAAAUCAAAAGAAAGAAGAAAAGAAAGAAAACUGGACGCCACAGAUUAGAGCUGGUACCCAGUACCUACUUGUUACAAGGACAUAUGAAAAGGCCACAGCAUUUCCCUAAAUCUUUUAAAUUUUUCUCGGCCUCCUUCAUGUCUUGGUUGAUAUGGUUCAUGCCUUCUUCGACACGAUCGAGUUGUUCUGGUUAGGACAAAGGGAUGACAGUGUGGAAUGAAUUUUUUGGGGGUUUCCAACAGAACAUGAGAAAUGACUAUGUGGAGCAGAAUUUGAAAGAGAAAGAUUUUACAAUGCAUGGUCCCAGAGGAUGCAUUGCUGGAACCUGCUGCCGCCCUACCAGGCACAGGUGGAAGGAAAUGAACAAAAACAAUGCUUGAAAUAGUUUGUAAUUCAGACAUGAUGGGAUGGGGUACGUGAGCCUGUUGGAUUCUGAGUGUCCAGGAAAGCAACACAACCUAUUCACUUAUUCAGACACCAGCGAAACCCAAGAGAAAGAAAAACAUGGUGUUAGUGUUUUAGGAAUUCAAGAUGUCAUGUUACUAGAGAAGGUACCUGCUUCAACUUUAAAUAUCUCUGUCUUUUGGUUUUAAGUAUCCUCCACCAGGUAAGGGUAGUAAAUAGAGUCAAUCUUCUUUGGGGAAAAUAACAACAAUUAAGGUGAUAAUUAGCAAUGGGUACCAGAUCUUUUUUUUUUUUUUUUCCCCCUAGCGGUGGGCUGUUCCCUAGCCCAGGGACAGUUCUUGGUUUUGAAUCCUUAACUCAUAGACACUGCUU